rnacentral:rRNA from 1 species
GAGUUUGAUCCUGGCUCAGAACGAACGCUGGCGGCAGGCCUAAUACAUGCAAGUCGAGCGCGCCCUUCGGGGUGAGCGGCGGACGGGUGAGUAACGCGUGGGAAUAUGCCCUUCUCUAAGGAAUAGCCUCUGGAAACGGAGAGUAAUACCUUAUACGCCCUUUGGGGGAAAGAUUUAUCGGAGAAGGAUUAGCCCGCGUUAGAUUAGGUAGUUGGUGGGGUAAUGGCCUACCAAGCCUACGAUCUAUAGCUGGUUUGAGAGGAUGAUCAGCCACACUGGGACUGAGACACGGCCCAGACUCCUACGGGAGGCAGCAGUAGGGAAUCUUAGACAAUGGGGGCAACCCUGAUCUAGCCAUGCCGCGUGUGUGAUGAAGGCCCUAGGGUCGUAAAGCACUUUCGCCAGAGAUGAUAAUGACAGUAUCUGGUAAAGAAACCCCGGCUAACUCCGUGCCAGCAGCCGCGGUAAUACGGAGGGGGUUAGCGUUGUUCGGAAUUACUGGGCUUAAAGAGUUCGUAGGUGGUUGAAAAAGUUAGUGGUGAAAUCCCAGAGCUUAACUCUGGAACUGCCAUAAAAACUUUUCAGCUAGAGUAUGAUAGAGAAAAGCAGAAUUUCUAGUGUAGAGGUGAAAUUCGUAGAUAUUAGAAAGAAUACCAAUGCCAAAGGCAGCUUUCUGGAUCAUUACUGACACUGAGGAACGAAAGCAUGGGUAGCGAAGAGGAUUAGAUACCCUCGUAGUCCAUGCCGUAAACGAUGUGUGUUAGACGUUGGAAAUUUAUUUUCAGUGUCGCAGGGAAACCGAUAAACACACCGCCUGGGGAGUACGACCGCAAGGUUAAAACUCAAAUGAAUUGACGGGGACCCGCACAAGUAGUGGAGCAUGUGGUUUAAUUCGAAGAUACGCGCAGAACCUUACCAACACUUGACAUGUUCGUCGCGACUCUAAGAGAUUAGAGUUUUCGGUUCGGCCGGACGAAACACAGGUGCUGCAUGGCUGUCGUCAGCUCGUGUCGUGAGAUGUUGGGUUAAGUCCCGCAACGAGCGCAACCCUCACUUUUAGUUGCCAUCAUUAAGUUGGGCACUCUGAAAGAACUGCCAGUGAUAAGCUGGAGGAAGGUGGGGAUGACGUCAAGUCCUCAUGGCCCUUACGUGUUGGGCUACACACGUGCUACAAUGGUAUCUACAACAGGAAGCAAGACUGCGAAGUUAAGCAAAUCCCUAAAAGAUACCUCAGUUCGGAUUGCACUCUGCGACUCGAGUGCAUGAAGCUGGAAUUACUAGUAAUCGCGGAUCAGCGUGCCACGGUGAAUGCGUUCCCGGGUCUUGUACACACCGCCCGUCACACCAUGGGAGUUGGUUCUACCUUAAGGCAAGGUUUCAAACCCUUGACCACGGUAUAGUCAGCGACUGGGGUGAAGUCGUAACAAGGUAACC